rnacentral:rRNA from 1 species
AGAGCGAACGCUGGCGGCAGGCCUAACACAUGCAAGUCGAGCGCCCGUAGCAAUACGGGAGCGGCAGACGGGAUAGUAACACGUGGGAACGCGCCCUUCGGUUCGGAAUAACUCAGGGAAACUUGAGCUAAUACCGAAUACGCCCUUACGGGGAAAGAUUUAUUGCCGAAGGAACGGCCCGCGUCCGAUUAGCUAGUUGGUGAGGUAAUGGCUCACCAAGGCUACGAUCGGUAGCUGGUCUGAGAGGAUGACCAGCAUCACUGGGACUGAGACACGGCCCAGACUCCUACGGGAGGCAGCAGUGGGGAAUAUUGGACAAUGGGCGCAAGCCUGAUCCAGCCAUGCCGCGUGGAUGAUGAAGGCCUUAGGGUUGUAAAGUCCGUUUAACGGGAAGAUAAUGACGGUACCGUAGAAUAAGCCCGGCUAACUUCGUGCCAGCAGCCGC